AUUGAACGCUGGCGGCAUGCCUUACACAUGCAAGUCGAACGGCAGCACGGGUGCUUGCACCUGGUGGCGAGUGGCGAACGGGUGAGUAAUACAUCGGAACAUGUCCUGUAGUGGGGGAUAGCCCGGCGAAAGCCGGAUUAAUACCGCAUACGAUCUUCGGAUGAAAGCGGGGGACCUUCGGGCCUCGCGCUAUAGGGUUGGCCGAUGGCUGAUUAGCUAGUUGGUGGGGUAAAGGCCUACCAAGGCGACGAUCAGUAGAUGGUCUGAGAGGACGACCAGCCACACUGGGACUGAGACACGGCCCAGACUCCUACGGGAGGCAGCAGUGGGGAAUUUUGGACAAUGGGCGAAAGCCUGAUCCAGCAAUGCCGCGUGUGUGAAGAAGGCCUUCGGGUUGUAAAGCACUUUUGUCCGGAAAGAAAUCCUUGGCUCUAAUACAGUCGGGGGAUGACGGUACCGGAAGAAUAAGCACCGGCUAACUACGUG
rnacentral:rRNA from 1 species